AAAUUUUGCAUUCAUUCAAUCGGCUAAAGCAUGGCAAGUAAUAGUAAUCAAAGUAGGAACAGACUUUCGUAGCUAGAGGUUCCUUCAACACAGUAAAGUAAAAGAAACUUUCUGUUUGAGAAAUAAAAAUCGAGAUCCGCAUUUAAAACGGCAAACAUCGAAUAAAAACCUUGGCUUAGGACCAAAAAAAAACUCAGCUUGAACAAACCUCUCUAGA
rnacentral:lncRNA from 1 species